rnacentral:miRNA from 1 species
CAAAGGCCUCCUUCUCUGCAG